rnacentral:tRNA from 1 species
AAAGCCUUAGUAACAAAUAUUACGUAGCCCUGUCAGUGCUAAAUUAUGGUUAAACCCAUAGACUUUA